GGCGGGACUUGUGGAAACGGCCGCCGCAGGGUUGGCGGACUUGGGAAGGAGCAAAGAUGGCGCCGUGAGGUACCCUGCUGCUAGCUGGCCUUUGGGGCCGGGGCCAGCUCGGCCCCCGGGCGGUCGAGUGCUCUUGAUGGCUGAUGCGAGGAAGAACAUUUUCCUUGCCUUUUAGGUGCUUUUAUAUUCAUCUCGAAAAGAAAAAAAAAUUCUGAACUCAGGAUUCAGCAAGUAUUGUAUGUUGUCUCCUGGACUGGAUAGUCCUGCUUCUUUUAUCUGGCCACUUUCCCUAUUCUUGAAAUCUGGUUAUCUUCUCUACACUUCACCUCCACGACUCGGAGUAGAGAAGGCCACUUUUCUUUCUGUUGCACCUCAGAUUGAGCAGAGAAGCUCGUAGGGUACAGUCAUGCUGCUGACUUCUCUAAGAAGAAAGAAGCAACCGACACAUCUUCUGCUGUUUGCUUAAGUAUAAAGAAAUUAUUUGGCAAGAUGAAUGCUGAUUUCUAAUUUGAAACAGAUUCUUGGAUGGUGGUAUUUGUGAAUUCUUUGCCUCUUGUUCCAAACAAGAAGAGUAAAUAAAUAGCAAGUAUGGAUGACAUCAGGGUUUUUUUUUAAUGUCUUCCAGUUUUAACCGCCUUCAUGAGAAGCACAGUUGAGACUGCAGCAGUAAAUUCCAAAUAUGUGUUGUAAUUUGAAGUGAAAAAGAUGGUAAAAAAUUACAUAUGUAUCUAAAUGGUGGCUUGUCCUGUGACAUAGAUUUAUUGGAUAAGAACAAAGUUUGGAUUUUGCAAUAAAACCUUUGGUGUGAUAAAGAAGCAUAAAGACAAGAUAGCACAAGAUUAAUUCCAUGUGAAUAAACCAGAGUCUCUAUAUAAAUACACAUUUUUACAUGUAUAAAACCACAUUUUUGAAUGAGAAAAGGAAUUUUUCUCUUAGAGAAGAAGGAUGCUGACUUUUCUCAGAAGUCUUUGGACAUUUUGAGGCCCUUUUUUUUUUUAAUGCUUUUUCUUUUUUCUAAGGAAGGACCACAUUGUGCAGAUGCUAAACCCUGUGAAUGCAUGCUUUGGUUUAGUGAAAGAUGGGUAAAAGGAAACAUAACAGUUUUGAAUCCAGUGAAGGAACCCUGAUCACCUCCGUAUGAUGAGAGACUGCUGUAUUACAAAUCACUUCAUUCUUUUUUGUGGAGUCUUAUGUAGUAAUGAGACUUGGUUUUCUAUGCUGCUGAAGCUGAGAGAAAGUGACAUACGGGGUUUUUCUGUUCAGAAGAUGGGAUAGACCCUCCAGUGUGACCUACCUUCAACUUUGGACAUGGAGGAAUGGGGAGAAAAGUGAGAAAGGUUUCCACGUAACUCCUUUUUCUCCUGAGAAAAAGAAGUAAAUAUGCCUAUGCAGUUCUACAGUGUUUUAUAUAUCUAUAGCUCCAUUUUUUGUAAGGGCAUAAAUAAUUCUCUCCUUUGACUCAAAGUGGGUACUUGGAUGUUGGUUUAUUUUUCAAAGCAAUAGGUAUAAUAUUAGGCUGAAAAGGCUGGGACUCAGGUAAUUUCCCCAGUUAGGAACAGAACUUCUCAUCAAAGAAUGGGCCUCAGAAGCAAUAUUCCAAAGUUGUGGUUUGGUCAGUAUAAAUUUAGAAAUUCAGAGUUUAAAAAAACCUCUCAAGAAAAAUAGAGUAAGAAAUAUGAAUCUUCAUUUCUUUACCUUUAAACUUAACGCUAUAGGAUGAACAGACUAUAGAGUAAAGCUGUCCUUGCUUCCAAAUCAACAGAGGACUGGUAUAUGAAUUGUCAAGUCUUUACAUAAGAAGAAUAAAACCCUUAUUUAUGAGUCUUUGUGAGUUGAGAAAGAAUUGAAAACUUAGAUAAAAUUAAAAACAAAUCAUCUUCAAUUUCAAUGAUUUAGGGAGUGCUUUCCCAGGGCCAUGCAUACCAUGAUGCCGAAAACUUAGAGCAAUUUACCAAAAUUUGAGAGUGACAGGAAUGGCCAAAAACAUGGGAAAUGUUGAGCACUCUUAAUGAUUAAAUUCAACAACCAGUUUGAAUUGCCAUGAGAAAUUUUUUGUAAAGUAUUUCACAUGAUAUAGAUAAAACAUAAUUUCCUUUAAUUGAGAGCAAAUAAUUGUGUGUGGUAAAGCACAGGAGAAGUAACUUUGGAUAAAGGUAACUUAAAUAUUUCUCUUAAGAUCUUCCCAACCAUUCUAUGAUGUUUUCAAGUAUUUUGGAAUUGUUAAAGAUAGCGUGGUCCCUACGUACAUGAGUCCCAUUGGUAUGUUCAGAAUAUCAUGGAGAAUUUGUAUCUACAGUUCGUCAUCCAUCUUCCCUGUGUCCUUUUGGCAGCUUGUUAGGUAGAAGCAUUUGGUGGGGGAUAGACCCUCUACUGUCUGCACCAGUGAAACCAUCUGUGGCCCACUUGUUUCUCUACUGUCUGCACCAGUGAAACCAUCUUGUUUGAAUAUGUAUGAGACUCAACUUCUCCAGUUGCUUUAUACUUUUUCAUCUCACAGCUAAGAGAACUCCUGUAUAAUGCACUCUUCAGGUUGUUCCUGCAUCUUCCAUGGUUGUCACCAGAUUGCAGUUUAUAAAAUAGAUAUAUUCCAAUAGUGCUUGCCUAGUGUUUAAUAUGUUUAAUUACAUAUUUUUUGCCUGGUCUAUUUUAAUCCCCUUCUUGAUGGCAAAAGCUAUAAUUCUGGGCAGAACUAGCCUCAGUCUGUAGCUGUGCCUACUUCCUUUCUGUUGCUCAUCUAUGUUAGCUGGCAGUUUUCCUUUUAAGUAAAAGUUAAACAAAAAUGGGAUAUGUGCAAUAGAAAUAUAUAUAUAUAUGUAUAUUUUAAUACUUGUGGACAAACGUUACAAGUUGUUUAAGAACAACAAAAUCACCAAUGUCUUCCAUUUUGAGAUGUGUAUAGUUUUGUAAGCAUUUAGUGCUUGGUAGCAUAUUGUAGUGCCAUGUUAGGGGCUAGUGCAUGAGCCUAGUAAUAAUUUUAACUUCAGGAUGAAUUACUGAUAAUAACCAAUAGUGUAAAAAGUGAAAAAUCUAGACAUUUUUUUCCCAUAAAUACCUGAAUCCUUGAUACUCUAGUCCCUGGGGAAAGGAGGUUAAGGCCAAAAAGACUCAUGGAUAGAAAUGUGGGGUCACAAUGUGAACUACUGUUUGAGGAUCUUUAAGCUUUUCCAUUCCUUUGUUUCUUAUGAAAUUUCGUAUCAAAGUGCAGCCCCAUUUCAUUAUUCUACUUUGCUUUUAAUUUGAGGUGAGGUUCUUGUGCUGUUUUCACAUUGUAUGUCUUCUUGAUUUAUAAUGUUCCCACUCCUUUUGCAUCAAGAAAUUAUGAUUUGCAUGUUUUACUGAGAUACUGUGUUAAUUGCUUAAGUGAACACUUUUCUAAUCUACAGACCAUGUAUGUUCCCUGUCUGCAGCAUGCUACUUGUUAAUGGAAGAACACUGGUUAGUAGUUCAGAGUGUGCUAGAUUAACUGUCCUGGGCUUUUCCUGUUUCCAAACUUGCUGAAUUGUGUAUUGAUGGGAUUUCAGACCUUUUCAUGAGAACUAGAAAUGUAGCUUCUUGGAGCCUUCUCAGGGUGCUAUGUAAUAAGCAACUCUCUUGCUUGGUUACAGUAAGCCAUCUCAGACAGCUGUCCCUUUUGUCUGCUUUCCUUGUGAAAAUAAAGUUGUUUUGUUUGAAAGUGGAAGAUAGCUUUCUGUAGAAAAGAAAUUCCUACCUCUAAAAGCUGCCUUUAAGAACUUGGAAAUGGCAGUUUUCUGGGGUGAUUUUUAAAUCUCAGUAUUAGGACAGGCCAGGAUUUACUGAUACAGAUUCUACAGUUAGCAUGACAGGAAAUGCAAAACUUUUAAUGUGGUAUGUCUCAUGUGCAGAAGCAAGCAACAGACCAGGCAGCAGAUACCCAAGGACCCAGGUUUAGAAUCUCACAGUGUACUUAAAGUAGUCGUAUUCUUGGCACAAGUAGUUCAGUGCCUGGGAGAAUCCAUUUCUGAAAAGCAUUUAAAUGUUUUUUUUAAAUACCUCUGAAAAGGUAAUGAAUGCAAAAGAGCACACAGUAUGCAGGAAGAGAUAUUUUCUAUUGCAAAAAAAAAAAAAAAAAAAGCCAUAAAAUGAACCAGUAACUUUCAAGAGGUAGAAUUUCAGUAGCAAUAACUGGUUUGCAUGUUAAAGUAAGUUGCAUUCACAAGGUUGUACAGUAGAAUAAGUAGUAUUACUGCUUGAGUUGUAAGUCAUACAAAAGGAAAGAUGCUAGGUAAAGAGCAGAUAAAAAGUACUUUCUUUUAAAACUAUGAAUGUAUAUGAAUAUAUCAUUGUGUGAGAAAUGUCAACUUCUGUGUGAGUUAAAGGUUAAAUUUAGACCUUGUUUAUUUCCUAAAGCAGAGGAUUAAGGCCAUUGAAUGAAACUUCUAGUGCUUAACUUAACCUGGGAACAAAUGCACUAUUGAUGUGGCUCCAUUAAAGCCAGCUUGUGGAGAUUUUGCUUAUGAUAUUCUUUUUAGCAACAGGCAUUUGUAAAAUGGGGAACCUUUUCUUUGUCACCUCAUCUUUCUCCAUUAGUUUCCUGGGUGCAUUUUUAAAGAGGAAAAGUUUGUUGUAUGUGUAUAUUUAGAGCUAAAAACAAACUAAGGACUUGGAUAGCUGGCCUUUAUGCCUGUGGUUAGUUUAGGGGAGUUAGGAUUUAAAGGUGUAAAGCAAAAAGAUUGAAGACAGUAGCCAAAGACAGUAUGUUGGUUUUUUUAAACGUCGUCUAAUGUAGAUGUGCUGAGCCCUGUAGCUUGUACUGCUUAUUUUAACAAGAACCCAGCAAACUAAUUUGUUGAUCUGAGGAGUUACACAGCUCUCAUGAUAUAAUAGUGGAAUAAGGGUGACUUCUUAUCCCUUUUACCUCAUGUUCAUCCUGGCUAUUUAGCACCUUGAAGAUCCCUAAAAAAUUGGGUCUAUUUUUUUCCCAGGGAAAAAAACUAAAAGUGAGUGAAUCUAAGAAAAUAGUGCCUCUUGAAUAUUUAAUUCUUAUAUGGCUACUCCAAGGAUAGGGAGAAGGCUAUAUUAAAUUAAUUAUAGCUCCUCUUUAAAUGUCCUAUGCCAUCAAUUGGUGUUAGAGACAUUGGAAUAACCAAGCAAUAUUCAGGCAUCUGCAUGAUAGGACACCACUGCAUAUUGUGGUGUCAAUUAGUUUAGAACAAUUAAAGGUUACCCUUAAUAGCCACGUUAAUAGUUCUGAAUGCUAAGAUGUGCUACAAGUUUUUGUAGUCUCAGAAAGUAUUUCGUUAAUUAAUUUUCAGUGUUGUGGUCUCAUGUUUACUCUUUGUGUACCUGUGAUAUGCAAAAUAUGAAGAGACCCUUGGCCUCCAGGAGUUUACAUUCUCAUGGUGCUGCUGGUGCAAGCAAAUUACUCUAGUUUAUUCAGAACAUUGCUCAGCUAUUAACUAUACCAUAUUUGGAAGGAUCCCUUGGCCAACAGUUUUCAAAAGCAGAGGGCUAUGCUAAAUUUCAGGGCAUUGAUUUUGAGUUUACCUAACAGGUAACAACCUGUGCUGAUAUUGGCUCUGCUGUUAACUCCUUUUCCCUGGGGAGCUGUGCAGGUAUUGCUCAUUAAUGUGAAUCAGGAAAGAAACCAUUCUGCCUAAGAGCAUCUUCACCAUCCCUACACCACCUGUGCUCUUCUGUGCUGCUAUAGCUAGUUGUCCAUAAAUGGACAAGAGAAUUACUGCUCCAGAAGACCGUACAUCUCUUAAUUCCCUUUUUUCCCCCAGUUUUUACAUCAUUCUCUACCCAGAAGGACCGGGAUUUGCAAUUAAGCCUUUUAUAACUGAAUAGUGGUCCUAAUUCUAACCUUUUGUGUGACUUUUGUACCUCUGUUCUCAAGCAGCAUUGUGAUAGAUGUGGAUCACUUGCCUGCAUUUCUAAGCAAUGACUUUGCAUGUAUCCUUGUUAUUUCCCCAAUUCCUCUGAAUCAAGGGGUUUUCUCUGCAUGUAUAUUAAACUGGGUCUGGAUGUAAGUGGAAGCAAUAGUGGCAGACCCAUAACUGAUAAAGAGUACUAAUAUUCUGAUGCAUGAUUGAAAAUGUUGAGUGUUAUGUGGUUACUGGGAAAUAUAUAUAUAUAUGCAUUAAUACUGAAGCAAUAGAGACUCAAGACAAUAGCUUGAAUUUAUUGUUUGAAUUAUUGGUUUUUAUUUUCGAAUAAAAGAUUAUCUUACUUCCAUUGAAAAUGGGAGCUAGAAGAUAAACAGGGGCCACAAGACAUUCAAACCGUCAGGAAUAAAGCCUAACGGUGCUCACCCUCUAACUUUCCUGGUUCCAGUAGUCCCCAUGCAUGUAUAAAAACAACAAAAGGCACAAACUAAGCAUGUUGUGUAAAUAAAUAAGCUGCUAUGGCUAUAAUAAAGGUGCAGAGUUUCAGAAUGGGUAGGAAAGUAGAAAAUACUAGUGUGGAAUAUGUAAAAUAGGUAUGAGCUUUGACAAGUUUAUGUGGCUUAAGUUUGAAUCUCUUAAAACUAGUAUUUUUGGAAGUGAAUAGAGGCAAUAUGUACACAUUUCAGAUGUCCCAGGAUUUUCAGGUAACUAGGCAACUCUUCUGGAUGGUACUGGUAUUGACUAGCCAUAAAGGAUGGCUCAGCAAAGGAGGCCUUUCCAUUUGGUGGAAAUAGUACUGAAAACAUUGACACAUCUGUAGUUUGGUUUCUCUUUUGUUACUGUAUUAUAUACUUUUGUUUUAAUAGCCAGAGUUUAAUACCCUUGCUGUUUUGGGCAGACUGCAUAUGUUGCCUAAAGCUUUUGAUGCCAGGUAAACAGGAGCAAGUUUCCCCUUCCCAUUUAUUUUCUUACUUGAUAAAGAAAACGUCAGUUUAUUGUGGUAGCUUAAAACUUUUGAGAUGAAUGGAUUUGAAAUAACUGUUGUAAGUAUGCGUGAUAAUGGCAGUACAAAUGGAGCUCAUUAUGUCUGAAAGAGGCCUAAUUAGAAUACAGAAUUAGACUAGAUGAUUUUUACUAGGCCCCUUCCAGAUUUCAUGUUCUAUGACUGAAAAACUUUUUUUCUAAAUUAUUUUAACCUCCUUUUCUUUGUUGUGGCAUUUCACUCCAUAUGUCUUGGAAUGUUUAACUGGAAUGGUAACUUUCCAGCAAUUCAGAAUUGAAUUAGACUUCUAGUCAUUGCAGUGUCAGGUCUCCACUCAAAUACAGGAAAUGAGAUGUAGCAUCUCAUGUUUAAGUUUUCUCUUUGCUACUUACUGAUAACGUGUCUGUCAACCAGUGAAACCAAUGAAGAUUUAAGGACAGUUUCUCUAAACUCUGUCUUGCCAUUACUCCAUAAAGGCAUAUUAAAAUACUUAAUAUUAGAAAAUCGAGCAUCACAGAUUUCUCCAGGAACCAAUACUCCAAAUCUCCUUUAGAUUAGAGUAGGUAUCUUAAUGUUACUGAUAAUUUUCAAAAUGUUUUGUCUCCCUUGGUGAUGGUAUGCAGUGCCAUUAAAAUACAUUUUUCUCCCAGGGGUAAGAGAGAUUCUGGCAAUACAUUAUCAUCAGUCCUUAAACACCCAUCACUUCUAAUUAAAAAGAUUCCUAUUUGAGUACCUUUCAUAUUUUAUUUACUGUCCUGUAAAUAACAGUUGUGGCUCAGUUUUUACUUGCUAUUUUACAUCUUCUCCAUUGCACCACUGGUAUAUAAGAUGUUGAAAGAAUUUCAUUGAAUGUUUAUUCCAAGAGGCAGCUUGCUUUUCAAUCUAUGCAUCUUUGGGAGUUUAGAAGAAAUUUUAUCCUUUGAUGUAAAAAGGAACUGCUAUAAUUGGAGACUCUGCACCUGUGCGUGUGUGUGUAUAUAUAAAUAUAUUUUGUCAAUAAAGUAGCAUGGGCCGAGAAUGCACUGAAA